GCCUUCAUGAAGUCGGAAUUGCUAGUAAUGGCAGGUCAGCAUACUGCCGUGAAUACGUUCCCGGGCCUUGUACACACCGCCCGUCACACCAUGAGAGUUGGGAAUACCCGAAGCCUGUGAGCUAACUUUUAAGAGGCAGCAGUCGAAGGUAGAAUCAAUGAUUGGGGUGAAGUCGUAACAAGGUAUC
rnacentral:rRNA from 1 species